GAAAUGCGAUAAGUAAUGUGAAUUGCAGAAUUCAGUGAAUCAUCGAAUCUUUGAACGCACAUUGCGCCCGCCAGUAUUCUGGCGGGCAUGCCUGUUCGAGCGUCAUUACAACCCUCAGGCCCCCGGGCCUGGCGUUGGGGAUCGGCGGAAGCCCCCUGCGGGCACAACGCCGUCCCCCAAAUACAGUGGCGGUCCCGCCGCAGCUUCCAUUGCGUAGUAGCUAACACCUCGCAACUGGAGAGCGGCGCGGCCACGCCGUAAAACACCCAACUUCUGAAUGUUGACCUCGGAUCAGGUAGGGAUACCCGCUGAACUUAAGC
rnacentral:misc_RNA from 1 species